rnacentral:rRNA from 1 species
CCUACGGGUGGCAGCAGUGAGGAAUAUUGGUCAAUGGACGAGAGUCUGAACCAGCCAAGUAGCGUGAAGGAUGACUGCCCUAUGGGUUGUAAACUUCUUUUGCCGGGGAGCAAGGGCCGGGACGCGUCCCGGCCCGGCGAGUACCCGGAGAAAAAGCAUCGGCUAACUCCGUGCCAGCAGCCGCGGUAAUACGGAGGAUGCGAGCGUUAUCCGGUUUUAUGGGGUUUAAGGGGUGCGUAGGGGGGCUUUUAAGUCUGCGGGAAAAAUGCGGGGCUAAACCCCGUCCGGCCGUUGAACCUGGGGGCCUUGAGUGGGCGAGAAGAAGGCGGAAGGCGUGGUGUAGCGGUGAAAUGCAUAGAUAUCACGCAGAACCCCGAUUGCGAAGGCAGCCGUCCGGCGGCCUACUGACGCUGAGGCACGAAAGUGCGGGGAUCGAACAGGAUUAGAUACCCGAGUAGUC